rnacentral:rRNA from 1 species
UACGUAGGGGGCAAGCGUUGUCCGGAUUUAUUGGGCGUAAAGAGCGUGUAGGCGGCCAGGUAGGUCUGCUGUGAAAACUCGAGGCUCAACCUCGAGACGCCGAUGGAAACCGUUUGGCUAGAGUCCGGAAGAGGAGAGUGGAAUUCCUGGUGUAGCGGUGAAAUGCGCAGAUAUCAGGAGGAACACCGAUGGCGAAGGCAGGUCUCUGGGCAUUAACUGACGCUGAGGAGCGAAAGCAUGGGGAGCGAACAGG